GUGAAUCAUCAAAUCUUUGAACGCAAAUUGCGCCUUUUUCGGAUGCCAUGUGCGUUUGAGGGCGCCAUUUAACAAAAAAUGUGCAGCGUUUUUUGUUUCACACGUUGAUGAGCUUUCCAAGAAUUUUAAAUUUUUGGUAGCAUAUAAUGAACAGCGUGAAAGUUCUUUUCAGUUCGAGUGUAGUAAAAUCUUUGCUUGGGUUGUGAAAAAACAUAAACGCGUAUUGGGUGUUGCACUUUCUUU
rnacentral:misc_RNA from 1 species